GAUGAACGCUGACAGAAUGCUUAACACAUGCAAGUCAACUUGAAUUUGGGUCUUUUGACUUAGAUUUGGGUGGCGGACGGGUGAGUAACGCGUAAAGAACUUGCCUCACAGUUAGGGACAACAUUUGGAAACGAAUGCUAAUACCUGAUAUUAUGAAUAUAUGGCAUCACAUAAUUACGAAAGCUAUAAGCGCUGUGAGAGAGCUUUGCGUCCCAUUAGCUAGUUGGAGAGGUAACGGCUCACCAAGGCGAUGAUGGGUAGCCGGCCUGAGAGGGUGAACGGCCACAAGGGGACUGAGACACGGCCCUUACUCCUACGGGAGGCAGCAGUGGGGAAUAUUGGACAAUGGACUAAGAGUCUGAUCCAGCAAUUCUGUGUGCACGAUGACGUUUUUCGGAAUGUAAAGUGCUUUCAGUUGGGAAGAAAAAAAUGACGGUCCAACAGAAGAAG
rnacentral:rRNA from 1 species